UCUGUGUCCUGCCCGCAGUGGGAAGAGGUGAGCGGGUACGACGAGAACAUGAACACGAUUCGCACCUACCAGGUGUGCAACGUCUUUGAAUCCAGCCAAAACAACUGGCUCCGGACCAAGUACAUCCGGAGGCGAGGAGCGCACCGCAUCCACGUGGAGAUGAAAUUUUCUGUCCGGGACUGCAGCAGCAUCCCUAAUGUCCCAGGCUCCUGUAAGGAGACUUUUAACCUCUACUAUUUUGAGUCGGACUUUGACUCGGCCACCAAGACUUUUCCUAACUGGCUGGAGAAUCCCUGGACCUUGGAUGAAGGUGGACACAAUUGCUGCCGACGAGAGCUUCUCGCAGGUGGAUCUAGGUGGACGGGUGAUGAAGAUUAACACCGAGGUGCGCAGUUUUGGGCCUGUCUCCAAGAAUGGUUUCUACCUGGCCUUCCAGGACUACGGAGGCUGCAUGUCCUUGAUUGCCGUCCGCGUCUUCUACCGCAAAUGUCCCCGCGUGAUUCAGAACGGGGCCGUCUUCCAAGAAACCCUCUCGGGAGCGGAGAGCACCUCGCUG